rnacentral:rRNA from 1 species
CGUAUGGAGCAAGCGUUAUCCGGAUUUAUUGGGUUUAAAGGGUGCGUAGGCGGCCGAGUAAGUCAGCGGUGAAAUUUUGCAGCUUAACUGUAACAGUGCCGUUGAUACUGCAUGGCUAGGAUUUGGUUGCUGAGGGUGGAAUGUGUGGUGUAGCGGUGAAAUGCUUAGAUGUCACACAGAAUAUCAAUUGCGAAGGCAGCUCACAAAGCCAAGAUUGACGCUGAGGCACGAAAGUGUGGGGAUCAAA